CCGGCUUGUGUUUAGAAGGGCCCUGUACUGCCUUUAGCUAAGGAUGUUACUAUCUUAUUUAUAUUACCUUCUGUGUAGUUAUUUCAUUUAGGCUUUCUCUGAGGAAGGAAUGGCCAAAUUGUCUGAAAGGAACAUUCUGUUUCCUGAAUAGGAAUUUCGCGGCCACAGCUUAUCUCAGCAAGAAUCAUAUAUUUGUGACGACAUGAGCCAGAUUCCCAUACUAUGUAAUUUUACUGGAAUUCUCCUGCAGUAACUUAAUGCUGACCUUAUGAUUCUUUCUAUGAUGAUAUCCUACAGUCUCCUCUUUGAGCUUGGAUGCUGGCAAGAGAAGCUCAAGUUGGCUGAACAAUACAGGAUGAAAGUUUGUAAGUGGGGAAGGCCCCGCACAGAUUUGGAAAAACUCAGAAUGUGUUUUCAGAAGGGGAUGGCGAAAGUUCCCAAAUUAUUCAAAUUGAGUUCACUUAGAUCAUUGGGACUGUAUUUAUUGAUAUUGAGAGUGCUAAUCAAUAGGAGUUUGGAACCCUAUUUCAGGGGGCUCACAUUGGUGGUCCGCAUACACUAGAGUAAGAACCUCUGAUCUGUCAGAUGCUCCAUUUACAGAUAAAGAAACUGAUGGGAAUCGACUUGUUCAAAGUCAUGUGGUCAAUAAGCAUCAGAGGCAGAAUUAGAAUCUAAUUCUUAUAAUUCCUAGGUCCUUUCUACCAAGCCCUGUCCCAGGAAGCCAGCAUCCUGUCCCCUCUCCAUGGCUCCAUUCCCACUAACGGCUCUAGGGCACACUGGAACAGACAGAAACCGUUGGCAUCUAGUGCACGUCUUCUUCAGGAGCCCAUCCCCUUGGUUCCAAUCAGGAUUAGGUUCCUCUUGGCUGGAGGAAGCUAAGCCUGUCAUGAUUCCUCCUUUUUCAUUAGUCAUCUCCUUGACCUCUCUCCCUUUCCCAGGACCCUGGUCCUCAGGGUCAUCAACAUUGAUUUGUGCGAGAGGCCGAGUCCAGCUGACUUCAGUGCUGGUCAAAAGCCCAGGAUGGGUCCAUGCAGAGGCAAAAGGAAACUUGGCUGGAGGAGGCAUGGGGAUUUGAACACAGUGUGAACCGGGAAGGCUGCUUCAGCCCAACCAAACACCAGCAAACUGCACCCAGCACAGCAGAGCAGCUACACCCAGGUCAAGUGAUGGGAGUGGCAGGACUCUCCCACUGCAUCUCUCCUGACUGAGCUGCCCAACAGCAUCUCCAGAGACUGGGGCUUAGAUACGCGGAUAUGAUGCUCUGGCACCUUGAGUGGUAUUGUGCACUGGCUGGAGUAUGGAGACCAGAAAGACCAGUUCUCGGGGUGGAAUAAGUGAUGUGAAGUAUGGCAUCUGGGUCCCUGCCCAGCCCAUGGGCCCAGAGAGGAAGGCCCAGGCCACAGAAAGGCUAUCCUGCAGCCCUAGGUGAGGGGAGACUUGGCUUCUCUCAUCCUUGGGAUGAGAUUUUUUUUUUUUAAGGAAGAUUAGCCCUGAGCUAACAUCUGCUGCCAAUCCUCCUCUUUUUGCUGAGGAAGCCUGGCCCUGAGCUAACAUCCGUGCCCAUCUUCCUCUACUUUAUACGUGGGACACCUACCAUAGCAUGGCUUGUCAAGUGGUGCCACAUCUGCACCUGGAUCCGAACCUGCGAACCCCGGGCCACCGAAGCUGAACGUGCGAACUUAACCGCUGCGCCACAGGGCUGGCCCUGGGGUGAGAUUUCUUAUACCCAACCAGCGGUUCCAGGCACCGAAACUUACUUAGGUAAUAGGGCUUUGGUUUUUUAAAGAAGAGAUGACCCCAACUUAAAAAAAAACAGCUUUAGUUUUAGUUUUGUUUAAAAAAUAAAGUCUAAAAAAUAAGUCUAAAAAGCCACCCAGGCUCAGACCCAACUGGUAUUUUUUUAGAAAUUUUGACUGCUGAAGUUUUGUGUUUCAGAUUUUCUUGGUUACAAUCUAAAUGUUUGAAUAAUAAUGGUGAUGAAAAGAUCUUUCAUGCUGAUCGUGCUUGGUAUAUGAUAAUCUUCACAAAAAUCAAGGAAAAAGCUCAUAAUCCUCACAAAAAUGUAAUUUUAACUGAUGAAGACACUCCAAGUUGGAGAAGGUGAGUGAUUCUCCCUGUGAGAAAGCGGCGGAACUGGGCUUGCAACUGAAGCCUGCUGUUGAGACAGCUCUUUUCAGGACUCUGAAAGUGGCCCCCCGCCAGCCGUGCACUAUUUGCCUCGAACCCUUUUUAGGAGGCGGAAGGGUACAAAUACACUAAUACAGCAUUAGUAUAUGGGUUCAAAAUUGUUAGAAUUGCAUCAGACCCCGCAGCCUCGACAUAUUUUUGUUUCGUUUAUCUCAUUUGUUCUUUCCCACUAAGUCACUGUGUCCCUAUAUUAUAGGAAAAGGAAGUUCCUUUUUAUAGGAAGCUCGGAUGGUGACUUGCCCGAGGCCACACUAAUAGCAAGAGGCAGAGAGUAGACUCCGAUCUCACCCCCAGCUUGGGUUCCACAUCUCUCUCCGUUGUGUCAGGUUGUCCUUCCCUGUAACAACAAUUAUGGAGCAAAUUGUAGAAAUUGGCCACCAAGGGACCCCACUCCCUAGGUCCACACGCUUUGCAACAUGACUUGCUGCUUUCCAUCAAGACGUGGAGCCUCUCUCCCCAUCCACUGAGUGCAGCUGGCCUUGGGACUCGCUUGGACCAGUAGAAUGUGAAGGAAGUGCUGUUCUGAGGUUUCCAAGCUCAGACUGUAAAGCGGCUUUCCGGCUUCCACUUUUCUUCUCGGAACCCAGCUGUCACGUAAAGAAGUCCAGGUUAUCCCGCUGGAGACAGAGGCCACAUGGAAGAGAAAUAGGCACCCCAGCUAACAGCCAACACCAAGGCCCCAGUCGCGAACCAAUUGGGAGACUGAGCUCAAGGAGUCGCUACCACCUGGGCUCGUUUAGCUGGAUGGGGCAUGGCUGCUGCACACAGAACAAAAGUGAAGGACAAUACCUGUUCCUGAGGAUGCGAUGCUUACCCAAGAAGAUGUUGAACAUGAGGGAUGCUUUGUGACCAAGAAAUUACAGUCUUCUGAGAGGACUCUGGCAGAGAGCCCUGUAUGGAGGAGGAGGUGCUCCUUGGGAGACCCCUUUGAAGAGUAAGAAGGGAGUGGGGGGUUUGAGGAGGGCUGAGCAGGUGAGAGCCGGCCAGAGGAGACUUGCUGAGCUGGUACACAUCAUGGGAGGAAGACGAGGAAAACCAGGCUGCGAUAAGGUGAGCCUCUGAAAGCCAUUUGUCAGGCUUUUCCCCAAGGAGGGACUGUGCCCUGAGAGGUGGACUAAUGGGGGUACUUUAGGUUUAAUGGAGGACCUUUCAAGGACCUCUUGAUGUGCUGCGUCUCUCCAUCUCAUCAGCGAUUCUUCUGUGCCCAAGACACCCUGAGAGACACUGGAGUUAUGAAAAGGUAUGCACUAUCUCCACCUUCAUAGAGCCGACGAUACCUCUGAGGGGACCAGACCUUCACAAAGACAUGCACAAUCUUAUUUGUUUAGCGAUGGAACUUUGUGGAAACAUGGCUAACGCAGCACAGUGUAUGCUAUGUAGAGGAUGAAUCAGACCGCCAAAACCAUAGUCUGAUUCACUACUUGACAAUCUUUUUCUCGAACAAUGAGCUAUUUUUCAAAUGUAAAUGAAUUUAAAAUUUCUCUGAAAUGACCAAAGACCCCUUUUUGUUUUCAAAAGGGAAAUGUACAGUAUACCCAGGGAGCUGGCUUCCCAGUUUCUUUUCUCUCUGCUCAUAAAGGCAACAGUGGAAUAAGGCUUCAGAGGGGCUCUGUGCUCCGGAUGCCACAUGAUAUGGGCAGCAGGUUCCACACUGACCUCUUGGGCAGACGAAGUGGAGCUGGCUGAACAUUUCUCGCUGUGCCUGAACUGUUCUCUCUGUGCUUUUCCCCUCAAACUUUCCCUUUGGUACCAGAGCCCUUUAGGGAUGACUCAUGCAUUUACUUAUUUAUUUAUUCAGCACAUACUUUGACCCCCAUCUAUGUGUCAAGCACAGUAUAAGCCACUGGGUAUCUCAUGAUAUAUAGGCUCAAAUAGUCCCUGCACGCAAGGAUCUUAAAAUCUAGUGAGAGAGACAACGUUAUUAGUGUAACAAUAAUUAUACACAUUAUUUUGCUGUGUAAUAUUGCUGCCUAAACAUUACAGUUAGAUUAACUAUAAGAUAAUUUAUAAAAUCCCAACAACUAAUGAACAUGGGUGGUCAUUUUCCCAAAGCCACGCACACGUCAUAAUUUAAUUAUACUGAUGAAAACGACACUGGCAAAGAACAGGGUGAUGAGAGAAUAUAGUGGCCGCCUAUCCUAGCCCGUACGGUCUGAAGAAAGCUUUCCUGAGAAAGUGACUUUUAGAAUAAAACUUAAAGAAUGAAUAAAAGUUGGCCAGGGGAAGGGGAAGUAAAGAUGAAGAACAGAAUGUGGCCCAGGCAGAGGGAACAGGACAAACAAAGGCCCUGGGGCCUUUGAAACUAGUCCCAGUGGAUUUGUGAACUCUUUCAGAGAUGCUCCACGCUGGUCCCCUUAUACUUUUCAAAGAAAGAAAGUUCAAGAUGCUUCCAACUUCCCACGUUUAUAUGCUAUCAGCUUAUUCCCAGCUCCCCCUGCUUUCCCCAUCUCCCCUACUCUCAGCUCUCUGGCCAUGACACUCAGUCAUAGCCCGCAUGGCGUAGUGGCGUCCUCUGACCCUGGGCAGCAGAGCGUUGGUAGAAGUCCUAUGUGUCUAGACAAAAGAUUGGUUAGUUUUUUCGAAAGCGAGUGUUCCAGGUCUGACUCAACCUGACUGAGAGCCAAGAAAGAGAUGAUAAGGCUGAUGGAAAAGAUCUCCUUAAUGAACGGCAAUAAAAAACAGCCCAAAGGUGAAGGCACGCAAUGGCCUUGGCGUUUCCUGCGGCUGCGGCCCCAGACAGGCUCUUGAAAGCGCUCAAGGAUAAGAGGUAGGAAGGCCAUUUUAUUUCCCCUCUGCUACUUGUAUUUUAACACUUUCCUGCCUCUCACGCUAAUCUCCAUUCCCCACACCUCAUGCUCCAAACAGUCGCCCUUUAGUUUUAGGGGGUAAAUAUUAUCCCUCUUGAGUGGGAUAAGAUGUCUAGGUCACACAGCCCACAGGAAUGGAGACUAUUCAGUCAACUUUCCUGGUGGUCCCUGUUUUAACCCUUUCAACCUCAAUGCAUUCAUUUAUAAAAUGGUUGGAAAGACGAGCCUAUGAUGUCACCACGAGGACUGAGAGUUUAAACAACGGGUUAUAAAUGAUAUGGAAUGUUGGCUAUUAAAGAGGAAAAUUCUGCUAUGAUUUCCUAAGCAUCCCAGGUGGCCAUUCCCCAAGGUGGAGGAGUUGUCACCUUAUGGGCACUUAAGGAACCUCACUUCAGGGGACCACCAAUGUAAUGGUAAUCAGGCAGGGUUUUUUUGUCUUCCCAGAAAUAAGAAAUAUAAACAAGGUUUAAAUUAGUAGCCAACAGACAUACUUUGCUCUCAAUUUUAAUCAGAAAAAUUUAAAAAACAAAGACACGUCUAACCUUUUAAAAACACUCUGUAAUUAUGAAGCCCUUCCAAUAUAGUGAGUGAAAAAUAGAUCUCAUUUAGGUCUCCUUUCUCUCUCCAAUGAUCCUUGUGAGGUGAGUAAGACAGUUCCUUCUAUUACGGACAGGAAUUUGAGGCUCAAAGAAAUUAAACCUCUGGCUCAAGACCGUACACCGAGCAGGUGGCAAACAGAGGUUUUGACCCAAUGGCUUUGAUUUCAGGUCCAGUGAUAUCUCUUCUUUAUUUACUGCCUCUGGACCCCAGAAUCCGUGCUCCUGCAGUAAGAAACAGCUCAAUCAAUGGAGGCGUCUGCUAUGAUUCCCCAUGGCAUCCUGAUACGCUUUGGAAGACAGCAGUGAAAGCAAGAUUUUUUUCCACUUAGUAUCCAGGAGGGCAACUCAGAUCCUUAAAGGAGCUCCUGAUUUUCACCCACGGGCUGGGAAUUCGAUGCACGCCCCGAAGAUUCUAAAAGGGAUUAGACCAGAACUUGGGCUCAAGUUCUUGUCUAGGGCAGGUGGAGGUGAGGACAAAGAGAAAGUGGCUGUCUGCAAACCAAGAAGGCCCCCACAAAGAACCUGACCAUGAUGGCACCCUGAUCUCGGACUUCAGUGUCUAGGAUGGAAGAUUAGCCCUGAGCUAACUACUGCCAAUCCUCCUCUUUUUGCUGAGGAAGACUGGACCUGAGCUAACAUCCGCGCCCAUCUUCCUC
rnacentral:lncRNA from 1 species